UGUCUCAACACUAGUAACUAAACACUGCAUAAAUUUUACGACAAACUUUCAACAACCUCAAUUUAAGCUCCAAAUCCGCACAAAAAAGUGUCUAAAACUUUUCAUCGUCGUAAGUUUUUCUCGUGCGGCCGUACCAUCAUCGUCGUCAUCGUCGCUGGGAGUUUCGCAAAGUUUUGCCAACCGUGGAAAACUGGUCGCUGGAACGAGACGAGUUGGUUUGGUGAAAAACUCCCCACCCUCGCUGCGGGAGCUCAGAGGGCCACCCAACUAGUGAGAAGGUGGUGGUGGUGAAAAGCAGAGGAACCAAGGAAGAGCCAGAAAAAGAUUCAGAAACUCACCACAAAGUCCGGUAUUGUGCGAAACAACAACAACAAUAGUGCGAAACUCUAAUCGACACGUUCUCGGCGCAUCAAACCGCAACACCAACAGCAAGCAUGACCUCCACCACUAUCAGCGUGGUGGAAUCGGUUAAAUUGCGGGGAUCUUCGGUAAUUGAAA